ACUCCUACGGGAGGCAGCAGUGAGGAAUUUUUCGCAAUGGGCUAACGCCUGACGGAGCAAUGCCGCGUGGAGGAGGAAGGCCUGUGGGUCGUAAACUCCUUUUCUCAGAGAAGAAGAUCUGACGGUAUCUGAGGAAUAAGCAUCGGCUAACUCUGUGCCAGCAGCCGCGGUAAUAC
rnacentral:rRNA from 1 species